rnacentral:rRNA from 1 species
GGAGUCUGGGCCGUGUCUCAGUCCCAAUGUGGCCGUCCGCCCUCUCAGGCCGGCUACUGAUCGUCGCUUCGGUGGGCCGUUACCCCGCCGACUGGCUAAUCAGAUGCGGAUCCAUCCUGUACCGAUAUUUCUUUUCACCCUGCACCAUGCGGUGCCGGGCGCUUAUGCGGUAUUACCAGCCGUUUCCAGCUGCUAUCCCCCUGUACAGGCCAGGUUAUCCACACGUUACUCACCCGUCCGCCACUAAGAUAAAACGAUUCCAGACGAAUCCUUCAUCCGUAAUAUCUCCGUUCGACUUGCAUGUGUUAGGCACGCCGCCAGCGUUCAUC